GAGAAUUGUUUGAGCAGUUGUGAUAAGUCACGAUGAUUUAGAUGAAGGAAUCUAAUGUCAUUGUUAAGAGAUAUUUUUUUUACUAAGUAGAAGGAUGAAAUGAGAACUUAGAGCUAAAGCUUGAGAGAAUUAGCAAUUGCUUUAAGUACUUGUUGGUUUGAGUUAUGAGUUUGAGUUAUGAGCUUGAGUAUAAUAGCAUGAUUAAUGAUGAGUUAUUAGCAUGCUGCAAUGAGAUAUUGUACGAUAUGUUGAGUUGUUUUGUGACGCGAGUUUUGCUCACGCAACCUUAAUGGUACUUGAAGAGGUAUCAUGAGCCAUAGUCUUUGGAGAUGGCUUUGAGAGAGAAUUGUUGAGUUGUCUUAC
rnacentral:lncRNA from 1 species